AGCAGCCGCGGUAAUUCCAGCUCCAAUAGCGUAUAUUAAAGUUGUUGCAGUUAAAAAGCUCGUAGUUGAAUUUCGGGAUCAGUAGGUUGGUCAUGCCUUCGGUAUGUACUGGUCUCACUGAUUCCUCCCUCUUGAAGAACCGUAAUGUCAUUAAUUUGAUGUUGCGGGGAAACAGGACUGUUACUUUGAAAAAAUUAGAGUGUUUAAAGCAGGCUCACGCUUGAAUACAUUAGCAUGGAAUAAUGAAAUAGGACGUUCGAUCCUAUUUUGUUGGUUUCUAGGAUUGACGUAAUGAUUAAUAGGGAUAGUUGGGGGCAUUAGUAUUCAAUUGUCAGAGGUGAAAUUCUUGGAUUUAUUGAAGACUAACUACUGCGAAAGCAUUUGCCAAGGAUGUUUUCAUUAAUCAAGAACGAAAGUUAGGGGAUCGAAGACGAUCAGAUACCGUCGUAGUCUUAACCAUAAACUAUGCCGACUAGGGAUCGGAUGUUGUUAAUUUUUUAAUGACUCAUUCGGCGCCUUA
rnacentral:rRNA from 1 species